GGGCUAGGAGAGAAGGCGAGCAGGGAGGAGAAUUGUUGUUUAGUCGCUCAGUCGCAACUGACUCUUUGCGACCCCGUGGACUGCAGCACGCCAGGCUUCCCUGUCCUUCACUAUCUCCCAGAGUUUGGUGAAACUCAUGUCCACUGAGUCAGUGAUGCCAAGGCAGAGAGUGGGUCGCUGGAACCCAGGCUGAACCUCCGCCCCCUGCAGACCGUCUUCUUACCCCACUGGCCCCGCCCCCUCACACAGGCCGCGCCCUCCUUUUCGUCCCCCGGCUCCGCCCCUCCCUCAGGCCCCGCCUUCUCUCCCAGCGCUUUGGGUCACAUACCUGCUUUGGCUCCCCAGCUCCAUCUCUCUGCGUGAGGGCUAUACUUCGUUCCUUUUUGAGAAUCGGGCUAUACUGAAACGCUGCUGAUCCCGUUCAGGCCUCCUAAGUCCAUCACCUCCUCCUGCAUCAUCUUGCCCUGCCAACCCAUUCUCCACUCCGUGAGCAGAAUGAACCUGCAGAAGUUCCUCUAGCAAUCCUUCCAUGGCUGCCCGUUGCUCCAGGAUAAAGCCCAAACUCCAGAGAAUCCCCCUGGGGCAGGAAAUGUCGCCUCACCCACAGCCCUAGCCCUCGCGGAGGACUCGCGUCAUGGAAAGCCUUCUGGAGGCUGGAAGUCCAAGAUCAAGGUGCCAGCAGCGUCGGUUUCUGGUGAGGUUCCUCUUCCUGGCUUGCAGGUUGGAGAGGAAGACAGACAACCGCUGGACCAGGGGAGGGGCUUCCACAGCAUUGCUGACACUAGGCUGAGCGGAAGCUUCAAGUUUCUACUCCAGAUUUGCCCCCUGGCUGGGAAGCUAAGACCCGGUGCCCUGCCAUCCAAGUUCCCAGGACUUGGAGGGAGCAUCUGGUUUGGGGCUGGCCUGGGAGCAGGAGCAGGAUGCUGACCCUCCUGUCCUCGAACCCUGCUCUUCCCCCUCUGUGGUGACGCCCAGCAGCCACCCUGGCUGCAGUCUACUGCUCUAUGUCCAGAGCCUAGAGGAAGAGGAACUGUAACCCAACUUGUCCUGCCCCCACCUAGGCCUGAUCCAGUGGCACGGCCCUCCUGACCCUCGGCCACUUGAUCUCAGACCUCCUAGCCCAGGCCUCUGGGUCCCUCACUGUAGAAGGCGCCUAUCUCCUACCCCAUGAAGAUGCAUCAGUCGAUCCUGAGCUUGGAGCAGGUGGAACACGAGACCCAGAGCCUCCAGCAUCCCUUUGCUCAAGUGAGGGACUUUUCACGAGGACAUAAGAACAGUUCCAAAGGGCUCCUCCACCCAGAAGCUUCCUGGUCCCCACCUCUGCCUCGGGCCGCAGAGAUCGAAGAUGGCUCUUGAGAUCCCCUCGGGUCAUUAACUCCAUGAUGACCAGAGUUGGCUGGCCCUGAGACACCACGCCCAGGAGACGUACCUGGCAUGGAGAAAGAGCCUCGUUGCGGGUCUACUCAGCUCCCUUUGACCCACUUGGCCAAAACCUUGUUCUGCUGUGACCACAACCUGACUCAGACAACAACCCUCCUAACCCUAGCCAUGACCAUAACCCUCAUCUUGACCUAACAAUGACCUUGACCCCAACCCAUGACCUUUUUAAAAUAAAAUAUAUUUAUUUGGUU